GAUGAACGCUGGCGGCGUGCCUAACACAUGCAAGUCGAACGGGGUAUUUCUUCGGAGAUACUUAGUGGCGAACGGGUGAGUAACGCGUGAGAAACCUGCCUUUCAGUGGGGACGAACAGUUGGAACGACUGCUAAUACCGCAUAAUGUUAUUUGGGGUCGAUCCCUCGAAUAACCAAAGAUUUAUUGCUGAAAGAUGGUCUCGCGUCUGAUUAGCUAGAUGGCGGGGUAACGGCCCACCAUGGCGACGAUCAGUAGCCGGUCUGAGAGGAUGAACGGCCACAUUGGGACUGAGAUACGGCCCAG
rnacentral:rRNA from 1 species